CAAUGAACGCUGGCGGCAGGCCUAACACAUGCAAGUCGAGCGGUAACACAGAGAGCUUGCUCUCGGGUGACGAGCGGCGGACGGGUGAGUAAUGUCUGGGAAACUGCCUGAUGGAGGGGGAUAACUACUGGAAACGGUAGCUAAUACCGCAUAACGUCGCAAGACCAAAGUGGGGGACCUUCGGGCCUCAUGCCAUCAGAUGUGCCCAGAUGGGAUUAGCUAGUAGGUGGGGUAAUGGCUCACCUAGGCGACGAUCCCUAGCUGGUCUGAGAGGAUGACCAGCCACACUGGAACUGAGACACGGUCCAGACUCCUACGGGAGGCAGCAGUGGGGAAUAUUGCACAAUGGGCGCAAGCCUGAUGCAGCCAUGCCGCGUGUAUGAAGAAGGCCUUCGGGUUGUAAAGUACUUUCAGCGAGGAGGAAGGCGUUAAGGUUAAUAACCUUGGCGAUUGACGUUACUCGCAGAAGAAGCACCGGCUAACUCCGUGCCAGCAGCCGCGGUAAUACGGAGGGUGCAAGCGUUAAUCGGAAUUACUGGGCGUAAAGCGCACGCAGGCGGUCUGUCAAGUCGGAUGUGAAAUCCCCGGGCUCAACCUGGGAACUGCAUUCGAAACUGGCAGGCUAGAGUCUUGUAGAGGGGGGUAGAAUUCCAGGUGUAGCGGUGAAAUGCGUAGAGAUCUGGAGGAAUACCGGUGGCGAAGGCGGCCCCCUGGACAAGACUGACGCUCAGGUGCGAAAGCGUGGGGAGCAAACAGGAUUAAUACCCUGGUAGUCCACGCCGUAAACGAUGUCACUUGGAGGUUGUGCCCUUGAGGCGUGGCUUCCGGAACUAACGCGUUAAGUCGACCGCCUGGGGAGUACGGCCGCAAGGUUAAAACUCAAAUGAAUUGACGGGGGCCCGCACAAGCGGUGGAGCAUGUGGUUUAAUUCGAUGCAACGCGAAGAACCUUACCUACUCUUGACAUCCAGAGAACUUAGCAGAGAUGCUUUGGUGCCUUCGGGAACUCUGAGACAGGUGCUGCAUGGCUGUCGUCAGCUCGUGUUGUGAAAUGUUGGGUUAAGUCCCGCAACGAGCGCAACCCUUAUCCUUUGUUGCCAGCGGUUAGGCCGGGAACUCAAAGGAGACUGCCAGUGAUAAACUGGAGGAAGGUGGGGAUGACGUCAAGUCAUCAUGGCCCUUACGAGUAGGGCUACACACGUGCUACAAUGGCAUAUACAAAGAGAAGCGACCUCGCGAGAGCAAGCGGACCUCAUAAAGUAUGUCGUAGUCCGGAUUGGAGUCUGCAACUCGACUCCAUGAAGUCGGAAUCGCUAGUAAUCGUAGAUCAGAAUGCUACGGUGAAUACGUUCCCGGGCCUUGUACACACCGCCCGUCACACCAUGGGAGUGGGUUGCAAAAGAAGUAGGUAGCUUAACCUUCGGGAGGGCGCUUACCACUUUGUGAUUCAUGACUGGGGGAAG
rnacentral:rRNA from 1 species